rnacentral:rRNA from 1 species
AGUGAACGCUGGCGGUAGGCCUAACACAUGCAAGUCGAACGGCAGCACAGUAAGAGCUUGCUCUUACGGGUGGCGAGUGGCGGACGGGUGAGGAAUACAUCGGAAUCUACUUUUUCGCGGGGGAUAACGUAGGGAAACUUACGCUAAUACCGCAUACGACCUACGGGUGAAAGCAGGGGAUCUUCGGACCUUGCGCGAUUGAAUGAGCCGAUGUCGGAUUAGCUAGUUGGCGGGGUAAAGGCCCACCAAGGCGACGACCCGUAGCUGGUCUGAGAGGAUGAUCAGCAACAUUGAACAUAGGAAACGUCCCAACAGCCACGGGGAGGCAGCGUGGGGAAAUAUGGGAAAAGGGGCGAAAGCCUAUCCCAGCCAAACGGGGGGGGUGAGGAAGGCCUACGGGUGGUAAAGCCCUUUGGUUGGGAAAAAAAAGAACCAGGUUAAAACCCCGCUGUUCGGCGGGUACCCAAAGAAUAAGCACGGGCAAAUUUGUG